rnacentral:rRNA from 1 species
GACGAACGCUGGCGGUGUGCUUAAUACAUGCAAGUCGAACGAUAAGGCCCUUCGGGGUACAUAAGUGGCGGACGGGUGAGUAACACGUAGGGAAUCUGCCUUAAGGAGGAGGAUAACACCGGGAAACUGGUGCUGAUACUCCGUAUGUCAUAGCUUGAAAUAGUUAUGAUGAAAGCUCCGGCGCCUUAAGAUGAGCCUGCGGCUGAUUAGCUUGUUGGUGGGGUAAUGGCCUACCAAGGCGACGAUCAGUAGCUGGUCUGAGAGGAUGAUCAGCCACAAUGGGACUGAGACACGGCCCAUACUCCUACGGGAGGCAGCAGUAGGGAAUUUUGCGCAAUGGGCGAAAGCCUGACGCAGCAACACCGUGUGAGUGAUGAAGCCCUUUGGGGUGUAAAACUCUGUCAGUGGGGACGAAUUUUGACGGUACCCACAGAGGAAGCAUCGGCUAACUACGUGCCAGCCGCCGCCGUAA